UCGAGAAUCUUUCACAAUGGGCGAAAGCCUGAUGGAGCGACGCCGCGUGGAGGAUGAAGGCCUUCGGGUUGUAAACUCCUGUCAUGAGGGAACAAGAAAGUGAUAGUACCUCAAGAGGAAGAGACGGCUAACUCUGUGCCAGCAGCCGCGGUAAUACAGAGGUCUCAAGCGUUGUUCGGAUUUACUGGGCGUAAAGGGUGCGUAGGCGGUGGCGUAAGUCGAGUGUGAAAUCUUCCGGCCUAACCGGAAAACUGCACUCGAUACUGCGUCACUAGAGGACUGUAGAGGAGACUGGAAUUCACGGUGUAGCAGUGAAAUGCGUAGAUAUCGUGAGGAAGACCGGUGGCGAAAGCGAGUCUCUGGGCUGAUACUGACGCUGAGGCGCGAAAGCUAGGGUAGCAAACGGGAUUAGAUACCCCUGUAGUCCCUGAGCGGGCUGGCAAGGCGCAU
rnacentral:rRNA from 1 species